rfam:Oryza barthii chromosome 1, whole genome shotgun sequence.
UUUAAAUGUAACCAUGAGUUUUCACGUCCAACUUUAAUCGUUCGUCUUAUUUAAAAAAAAAUUAAUUAGUAUUUUAUUGUUAUGAGAUGACAAAACAUGAAUAUUACUUUAUGCGUGACUUACAUUUUUAAUUUUUUUUAAAAAAAGUUUAAAUAAGACGGACGUUCAAAGUUGGGCACGGAAACUCAUGGCUGCACUUAAA